AGCUUGAGAAAACCUUGAGAAACAUUGCAACACACACAAAAUUCCUGGGGUUUUCUGCCCCCUACAGUCAAAUUUGGGAUAUAACAGUCCUGUGUGCAGUCCAUUUCAGAAUAUAUGUAAGAACUUAUUUUGAACAAAAAGUCAACAUUCAUCAUUUCAAAGCAAU